CAAGUCCACGGCAGUGAAGGGUUAGCGACCCACGCUGGCCCCGAGUCAUGCGUCGAUGUCCGCGAGGACAUGGGCGAAGCGUUGACAGGGGAGCGUAUAGGCCAGCCAUUGAGCGGCGAAAAGUUUUUCUGGGGUGCCGAUGCCCUCGAAGUGGCAGAAGGCAACACGGACCGGCGCGUGAACGCGAGUGUCGGCCCGACCCUGCGUCGUCUAAGACCC
rfam:Nitrococcus mobilis Nb-231 1099646003876, whole genome shotgun sequence.